rnacentral:lncRNA from 1 species
AUGUCCGGGUGCGACAAAGAUUGCGCCCAGAUAAACAAGUCAGACUCGCACUCGGUAGUGAGUGAUGGGCGACAAAAGGCAAGGCCAACACAAAGGGGCAUUUUUGUUAUCGAAAAGCCCUUGAAGCAACUAAAGCUAAAGAACAUGAGGUUAGCUAAAAAUCAUCUGGCUUGCUCAGAAGGUCUGUUUGGGUGUUUCGUGUUCGCAGGGCAGCACCUGUUGUACUGUUCUGCCUGUAGCCGUUUACCCUCACACCUCCAUUUUCAAAAACAUUUUCCUGGCAUGGAGAAUUUGUUGGUGAUUUGGCUGGCUAGAGGUGGCAGUACUCAUCUGCACGUGACAUUUAUGAAUGUUUUCCAACAGCAUCUACCAGAUAUCAGGAACAAGGGAAAGGAAGGCACCAAAGUUAAAGCUAAGAGUUCCAGUUUGAAUAUCUACUUUUCUGGAUUCUGGAAAAUUACGGUAUAAACAGGGUGAUUCAAAAAGAAUUGCACCUUGGCCACCCAGAUCCUCAGAUGUCUCACUUUGCAACUUCCUUCAGACAGAAUACCUCCGGAACCUCACAUCUGUACUGCACCUUCAUUUUUUUUCAACCUUCAAAAAAUGAAGAAUCUUGUCCUGGCUGCCAUUUCGGUUGUCAAAG